CCGUCCUAGUCUCAACCAUAAACGAUGCCGACCAGGGAUCGGCGGAUGUUGCUUAUAGGACUCCGCCGGCACCUUAUGAGAAAUCAAAGUCUUUGGGUUCCGGGGGGAGUAUCGUCGCAAGGCUGAAACUUAAAGGAAUUGACGGAAGGGCACCACCAGGCGUGGAGCCUGCGGCUUAAUUUGACUCAACACGGGGAAACUUACCAGGUCCAGACAUAGCAAGGAUUGACAGACUGAGAGCUCUUUCUUGAUUCUAUGGGUGGUGG
rnacentral:ncRNA from 1 species